UACGUAGGGGGCUAGCGUUGUCCGGAAUCAUUGGGCGUAAAGCGCGUGUAGGCGGUUCGGUAAGUCCGCUGUGAAAGUCGGGGGCUCAACCCUCGGAUGCCGGUGGAUACUGUCGAGCUGAGUCCGGAAGAGGCGAGUGGAAUUCCUGGUGUAGCGGUGGAAUGCGCAGAUAUCAGGAGGAACACCCAUAGCGAAGGCAGCUCGCUGGGACGGUACUGACGCUGAGGCGCGAAAGCGUGGGGAGCGAACAGG
rnacentral:rRNA from 1 species